rnacentral:snoRNA from 1 species
GCUCUCACUGAUGGUGAGAUCACCUCUCAUAUCCUUGCUAGUCUCGACUUAGAUUAUAAUCCAGUCGUCUCUGCUCUUGCUGCUCGAGUGGAGCCGAUCACUGUUCCUGAGCUAUACAACCAACUCCUCUCCUUUGAUG